AAGGUUCUGACUUAGCAUCUUACACACAAAAACUGGAAUGAUACAGAGUAGAUCAAUAACCUCUGUGCAUGAUGGAAUGCAAAUGCAUGAAAUCUUCCAUAUUUUU
ensembl:snRNA U6 U6 spliceosomal RNA